rnacentral:tRNA from 1 species
GCCUCUGUAGCUAAGUUUUUUAGAGCGCUGCAGGGGAAUCGCAGGCCCGUAGGUUCAAUUCCUACCAGAGGAC